GCGAGAGGCACCUCCCCACGCUGAGAACAGAAACCUAUGGGAUUGCAAAACCCGCUCUGCAAGCAUCAGCUGCGGCUGGAGGAGGAAAUGCUUCAGCUUCCUGCUCUGAGAAAAAAAUUCCCGGAGUUGCAUCCGUCCCCAGGCGUGCUGGGCUCCGCUGGGCUCCGUUGGGCUUCUCUGGGCUCCGCUGGGCUCCGCGGCCAGGGCUGGGAUGGACGCUGGUAACAGCAAACGGUGCUCAGCACUGGCCACCCCACAGCCCUGCGUGGGGCAGGGGGAUGGGAGGCAAAAUCAGAUCAGGAUCUGCAUCCAGGGUCUGGUUCGGCCUUCGUUAGCCGUGCCGGGUGCCCGCCGGGUGCGGGGUCAGCGCUGGGCCCCGGCUGUCCCCCGGACACAGCCUCGCAUGUUGGGUGUGUUUGUGAUGAGCUGCUGCCGCUGUCCUGCCUUACAGAGCCACCGGCUGCGCGGGUGGGUGCUCACAAGCUGUGCCAGGGCCGGGGUGUUUUAGCUCAAGCCGUCUCCGAGAGCUGCUGUGCUGGAGUUACAGGUCGCAGAGGCUUCCCACAUCCAGCUGCAGGGAUGGCUCCCGCAGGACUGCAACCCUCAUCCCCGGGAGCCGCCCUUGAGCCGGACCCAGCUGCAAACCCUUCCCCCAUGCGUGUGAAGCAACGGCUCCAGCCCGGUCUCAGCGCUUGCAAACACUUCCAGAGGGUUUCAGAGAUGAGCAAAGGGGAGAUUUUGGGGCAUUCCCCGGCUCCAGCCACAGCUGCCUCCGAGCCGCACCGCCAGCAUCGCUCUCGCCAGGAGUCACGCGGUGAUUCAGACCGAUCAGGCCACCGCUGAAAUUGUAGGUGAGCAGUUAACACAAGGAAGAGGGGCAAGUAAAACCUCCGGAGGGAAAUUCCAGCUGAGUUUCUUCUGGAGCUCCCCGAAGGCAAGGAGCGGCGGCGGGUGCAGUGGUGCGUCGUGCGCCACGGGCUCACCCCCUGCACCCGCUGCGGCCCCGCAGCCUCAGCCCCUGCGCAGGAGCCCGGCCAGGGGCGGCGGGAGAGGAAAGGGGCCCAUCCUGCAGUUCAGCUUUCUGCUGUGAAAAGAAACUGAAACAAAGAUUUCUAAAGGCAGGAAACCCAGGCUCAGGCGUUUUCUGAGACUUCUGACCUGUAGACGUUGCUUCAGCUUUCACCCAUGGCUGAGCACAUUUGGGCUGAUGAGGGGCAAAGACAGACAGGAAGGCAAUAAUUUAAAUAUUCUGUAACACCCAAAAAAGAUUAUUUUCAGAUUGCGCUGCAAGUCUUUUCACACAGUUUUCUACAGGCGUGCCCAAAAGCGAAACCGCCACGCUGUGAUGCCAGGAUGGUGCCAGCCCUUGGAGCAGGGGCUCCAGUUCAUCCCAGUUACCCCAGCAGCUCUCCCAGCUGGUUGCACAGUCAGGUCCAGCCUCGGUGGAGAUCCCAGUCCAGCCCCAGGAACUCAUCUGCCGGAUUUUGCCUUCAGAUUUUAUCCUCCCCUUCUCAAGGCUGACACCCCAAUCCCAGCUGACCUGCUCAGAGGGCUCACAUGCAUAAUCAGAAACCAGUAAAUCACACUUAGCACCAAACACGCAGCGAGACCCCGGGGCCGUGACGUGCCCAUGAGGGACAAACCCUGCGCGCGAUGUUAGCGCCCGUCUGGCGCAGGCUGGAAGAGCAAAAACACGUCUUUGAAACCAAAUUUGUGAUAAAAAUGAUUGUUCCAGCUGGUGGCAGCAAAGCUUAAAGAAUAAAGGCUAAGCAGCGUGUUCUG